rnacentral:sRNA from 1 species
GCUGGGUGUGGUGGCGCACACCUGUAAUCCCAGUGACUCAGGAGGCUGAGGCAGGAGGAUUGCAAGUCCAAAGCCAGCCUCAGCAAUUUAGCAAGGCCCUAAGCAACUCAGCGAGAUCCCAUCUCUA